AAGCUUGUAAGCGUUAGAUUGUAAAUCUAUUUUUUGAAGAAUCUUCCUUU
rnacentral:tRNA from 1 species